GGCCGGGUCCCGCGCAACGGAGGCUUGUGAACCCCGUCAGGUCCGGAAGGAAGCAGCGGUAGCAAUGUCCGCCAUGUGUUGCGGUAAACCCGGUCACC
rfam:Smithella sp. SDB scaffold-8455, whole genome shotgun sequence.